CUGUUCUUAUUUCUCUUUCAUUU
rnacentral:snRNA from 1 species